AUGAAUAUUCUACAACGUAUUCAUUUUCCCGUUGGUGGAAAUUUAGGUUGUUUCCUCUUCUCUUUUUUCUUCUUCUUCUUUUUUUUUUUUUUUUUUUUUGCUAUUAUAAACAAUGCUGCUAUGAUUCCUCUGGUAUAUGUCUCUUUAUGCACUUAUAUGCAUUUCUCCCAAACAUAUGCCUGGAGUAGAGUUGCUGGAUUGCAGGGAAAUGUAUCUUCAAUUUUACUAAAUAUUGCCAAAGUUUUGCUGCUUGGGGAACAGAUAAAGCACUCAAGAAAAGCUGAUGUUUUUAACUGGCUUUUGAAAGAUUGUGUCAGCAAUCGUUUCCAGUUCUGUCCUGGUGGCUCCAGUCAGUUUCCAGAAGCUUCUGUGGUGUCUGUCCUCUUCCCACAGGAUGCUGGUCUAGGUGAGCUGCCCAUCAAAGGCCCAAAGCCACGGCCCCUUGAGAAGACUGAGUCAUCCUUACCUGCUGCAUUUCCAAGCUGGUGUCAGCCCUCACUGACACGCACCACCUCUGUGGAUACUGAGGAUUCUGGGCUUGUAUCUCAGCCUUGGAGGGAUUUAGCAGCAACCACGAGGCCUCAGGAAACUCAAAAUGGCUCCGGGGGAGGAAUAUAUUGGUUCUACUGCCCUAAGGAAAAAGCUGAGAAGUCAAGGACUUACCCUGUCCAGGGCCUUCAGGAUCAAUGGAAUGAAGGAAUCUCUGAAGGACCAAGAAGAAAACACCCAGGACAACAGUGGCCUGACUCCAGGGCCUGCCCACGUCAGGUCUCCAGGUUGCUUUGCAGCCUGAAACACUGCCUCCACGUCUGCGACCACGUCACCACGCAGGUCCUGGGACCUCGUCCUUCAUCCGACAGCUGGCAUAGUCUCUCUGUGGACCCGGUGGCCUCCUGUGUGGCUGCUGCUGCUCGCCAAGCUGGGGAGGCCAAGGCACAGCCUUCGGUAACUGAGCACCCACUUCUGCCCUGAGCUUCUUCCUCGUCCUGUCCCCCGACCAAG
rnacentral:lncRNA from 12 species